AUGACCAUUUCCAUGAACACUCGCCAAAAAAAACCUCCGCCCAACUUUGCCAAGUUGCCCGGAGGCUUGGGGGCUACUGUCGGAGUAAUUGGGCACGGAUACCCCGAAGACGGCGAGACAAUAAUUCAAGACAUCGGGGCUAGCAAAGCCCCUCAGUCCGACUUCUCGGCUGGCGACCUUCGGGAAGGCCGAGUCCCGGCUGGCGACCUUCGGGAAGGCCGAGUCCCGGCUGGCGACCUUCGGGGAGGCCGAGUCCUGGCUGGCGACCUUCGGGAAGGCCGAGUCCCAGCUGGCGACCUUCGAAGCAGCCGAGUCCCAGACGGCGACUCUGAAGCAAGCCGACUCUGGGCUUGCGACCUUCAGGAGGCCGACUGCCGACUGCCGACUGCCGACUCCGCCACCAGGCCGACUGCCGACUCCGCCACCAGGCCGACUGCCGACUGCAGCCCGACGCGACCACGACGUGACGACCGUACCCGGCACUGUUCACGUGACGCCCCAGCCAUCAUGUACAGUGACACUUGUCCCUAG
rnacentral:rRNA from 1 species